rnacentral:lncRNA from 1 species
GCAUCACUCACUUCUGUCCCGUUCUUGACAGCGCCAUUCGCGAACGAUUUCCCAAGUUACUACGCCUGGAUGGCCAUGAGCUACCCCCACCAAUUGCCUUUGAUGUUGAAGCCCCCACGACGUUACCGCCCUGCAAGGGAAGCUAUUUUGGAACAGAAAACUUGAAGAGUCUGGUCUUGCACUUCCUGCAACAGUACUAUGCAAUUUACGACUCUGGAGACCGACAAGGGCUCCUGGAUGCCUACCAUGAUGGGGCCUGCUGUUCCCUGAGCAUUCCUUUCAUUCCUCAGAACCCUGCCCGAAGCAGCUUAGCCGAGUAUUUCAAGGAUAGCAGAAAUGUGAAGAAGCUUAAAGACCCUACCUUGCGGUUCCGGCUGCUGAAGCACACGCGUCUCAACGUUGUUGCCUUCCUCAAUGAGUUGCCCAAAACCCAGCACGACGUCAAUUCCUUCGUGGUAGACAUAAGCGCCCAGACAAGCACAUUGCUGUGUUUUUCUGUCAAUGGAGUCUUCAAGGAAGUGGACGGAAAGUCCCGGGAUUCUUUGCGAGCCUUCACCCGGACAUUCAUUGCUGUUCCUGCUAGCAAUUCAGGUUCUGAAGAGAUCCAAAGAGCCUUCGCUAUGCCUGCACCCACGCCUUCCUCCAGCCCGGUGCCCACCCUCUCUCCAGAGCAGCAGGAAAUGUUGCAAGCAUUCUCUACCCAGUCUGGCAUGAACCUCGAGUGGUCCCAGAAGUGCCUUCAGGACAACAACUGGGACUACACCAGAUCUGCCCAGGCCUUCACUCAUCUCAAGGCCAAGGGCGAGAUCCCAGAAGUGGCAUUCAUGAAGUGAUCGUAGUCAUGCCUCAGAAGCAGUCCCCCCUGUAAAUAGUCCUUGGAUAUUACCGUCUGGUUGUCGUCUGUCAUCUCCUCCUGUCUGGCCCGAGGCCGCCCCGUGACUGUGACCGAGGGAGGGAGGGCUGCCUGAUCCCUCUCCUCGCCUGCCUUCUGGAAGACUUCAGAAGAUUGAGCCUCACUGGUGCCAGGAAGCCAAAGCUUACUUUGUAGAACUGACACUAAACUACCCGAAGGACUUAG